rnacentral:rRNA from 1 species
AGGAUUCUCCCGGUAACGGCGAGUGAACGGAGAUUAGCCCAUCACCGAAGCCUAUCCGUGUUUGCGGAAAGGGCAAUGUGGUGUAAGGGCCAUUGCCUGGGACCGCUUGCUCACCCAAAGUCCGACACCGAAUACGGCUAGGAUAUUGUCCAGAGCGGGUGAUAGACCCGUGUGGGUGAGCUUGAGAAUGAAGCGGACCCUAGACGCAGUGGCCUGCGAGUCGGAUUGCUUGAGAAUGCAGUCCAAAGAGGGUGGUAAACUCCAUCCAAGGCUAAAUACUGGCACGAGUCCGAUAGUAGACAAGUACCGUGAGGGAAAGUUGAAAAGUACUCUGAAGAGAGAGUAAAUAGUACGUGAAACCGCUUGCAGGGAAGCUGGUGGAGUCAAGCUUCUUGCCGUGAGGUUGUGAUUGGGCGCUACGUUGUGAGAGUGGAGAGGGGCCGAUCGACAUGGAAAUGUUCGGGCGCAUUCGUGUGCUUGGAGUCUUCCUGGUGUGUGAGAUCCGGUCGGUCCUAAGUCUCCUGCGCCCAGUCUUGUAUCCUCUUGUGCAUGGAUCACGGUGGACAGUGUGAUGUGGUGAAAGGCGCUAACUGUGGCGUCGCGGGUAGCAAUAUCUGCGUGUUGCGGGAUGGCAGAAGGUGGCUGCGGCUUGCCGUAUGUCGCUUAUUGUGAUUUCGAUCUGCUGUGCCUUGUGUGAUGGAUCGCGCUGUCUAUCAUGUUGGUCCGGUUGUCUUCGGACGGCCGGUCACUGAGAGCCGUGGUUUUGAAGUAGA